rnacentral:rRNA from 1 species
GUGCGCAGGCGGUUAUGUAAGACAGAUGUAGAAACUCCCCCGGGCUCAACCUGGGGAACUGCAUUAGUGACUGCAUAGCUGGAGUACGGCAGAGGGGGAUGGAAUUCCGCGUGUAGCAGUGAAAUGCGUAGAUAUGCGGAGGAACACCGAUGGCGAAGGCAAUCCCCCUGGGCCUGUACUGACGCUCAUGCACGAAAGCGUGGGGAGCAAACAGGAUUAGAUACCCCUGU